rnacentral:lncRNA from 1 species
GAGGCUGUGGGUAGGGGACGGGGGUAGGAGACAGUGGGUAGGAGAUAGGAGACAGUGGGUAGGAGACUGGGGGUAGGGGACUGUGGGUAGGGGACUGUGGGUAGGAGAAGGGGUAGGAGACAGUGGGUAGGGAUAGGAGACAUGGGUAGGGGACUGUGGGUAGGGGACUGUGGGUAGGGGACUGUGGGUAGGGGACAGUGGGUAGGGGACAGGGGGUAGGGGACAGUGGGCAGGAGGCUGUGGGUAGGAGGCUGUGACAGAAAUAAAAUAACAAUAAAUCGGUUCUUCUGUCUCAGACAAUAAAUAACCAUCAAAACCAUUUAAAAUAGGCAAACAUUUAUUUUAGGGACUUAAAAAAAGAAAGUUGGAUGUGUCUGACUUAUUUCCCCCCCCAGGGUGAAGGAGACGUGUCAAUGAAAGUUUGUCAUCACGUGGAAUUAAAAUCCGCCCCGGCAACAAGGAAAGCAGGUCCGGGACCAGGCUAAUUAAUUGCAUGGGACAAUAAAGCUGGAAUCUUUAAUGGGUGAACUAAAGACGUUACUGUAAAAACCAACACGUGUUCUUUCCCCCUCAGACAUCAUUAUAACCAACACUGUUCUUUCCCCCUCAGACAUCAUUCAACCAACACUGUCUUUCCCCCCUCAGACAUCAUUACAAAACCAAAACUGUCUUUCCCCCUCAGACAUCAUUACAACCAACAUGUUCUUUCCCCCCUCAGACAGACAUCAUUACAACCAACACUGUUCUUUCCCCCCUCAGACAUCAUUACAACCAACACUGUUCUUUCCCCCUCAGACAUCAUUACAACCAACACUGUUCUUCCCCCCUCAGCAUCUUCAACCAACACUGUCUUUCCUCCCCCUCAGACAUUGCAUGGGUGACA